AACGAACGCUGGCGGCAUGCCUAACACAUGCCAGUCGAACGAGACCUUCGGGCCUAGUGGCGCACGGGUGCGUAACGCGUGGGAACCUGCCCUUAGGUUCGGAAUAACUCCCCGAAAGGGGUGCUAAUACCGGAUAAUGUCUUCGGACCAAAGAUUUAUCGCCUUUGGAUGGGCCCGCGUUGGAUUAGCUAGUUGGUAGGGUAAAAGCCUACCAAGGCGACGAUCCAUAGCUGGUCUGAGAGGAUGAUCAGCCACACUGGGACUGAGACACGGCCCAGACUCCUACGGGAGGCAGCAGUGGGGAAUAUUGGACAAUGGGCGAAAGCCUGAUCCAGCAAUGCCGCGUGAGUGAUGAAGGCCUUAGGGUUGUAAAGCUCUUUUACCCGGGAUGAUAAUGACAGUACCGGGAGAAUAAGCACCGGCUAACUCCGUG
rnacentral:rRNA from 1 species